UGGCGGCAAUAGCGCGGUGGUCCCACCUGACCCCAUGCCGAACUCAGAAGUGAAACGCCGUAGCGCCGAUGGUAGUGUGGGGUCUCCCCAUGUGAGAGUAGGACACUGCCAGGCA
rnacentral:rRNA from 1 species